rnacentral:rRNA from 1 species
UACGUAGGGGGCAAGCGUUGUCCGGAAUUAUUGGGCGUAAAGAGCGUGUAGGCGGCCAGAUAAGUCCGCUGUGAAAUCUCGAGGCUCAACUUCGAGCUGUCGGUGGAAACUAUCUGGCUAGAGUCCGGAAGAGGAGAAUGGAAUUCCUGGUGUAGCGGUGAAAUGCGCAGAUAUCAGGAAGAACACCCGUGGCGAAGGCGGUUCUCUGGAACGGUACUGACGCUGAGACGCGAAAGCGUGGGGAGCAAACAGG